rnacentral:rRNA from 1 species
CAGCAGCCGCGGGAAUACGAGGGGGGCAAGCGUUGUUCGGAAUUAUUGGGCGUAAAGGGCGCGUAGGCGGACAGUUCAGUCGGGGGUGAAAGCCCGGGGCUCAACCUCGGAAUUGCCUUCGAUACUGGCUGUCUUGAGUAUGAGAGAGGUGUGUGGAACUCCGAGUGUAGAGGUGAAAUUCGUAGAUAUUCGGAAGAACACCAGUGGCGAAGGCGACACACUGGCUCAUUACUGACGCUGAGGCGCGAAAGCGUGGGGAGCAAACAGGAUUAGAUACCCCAGUAGUCCCUGUCUCUUAUAC